AAUGAACGUUGGCGGCGUGGAUUAGGCAUGCAAGUCGUGCGUAAAGAGUAGCAAUACUCGGAAGCGGCGUAAGGGAGAGUAAUACAUAGGUAUUUACCCUGGGGUCUGGGAUAGCGGCGGGAAACUGCCGGUAAUACCAGAUGAUAUCUCCGGAUCAAAGGUGUGAUUCCGCCCUAGGAGAAGCCUGUGGUCUAUUAGCUAGUUGGCAGGGUAACGGCCUACCAAGGCAAAGAUGGAUAUGGGGCGUGAGAGCGUGCCCCCACUCACUGGGACUGAGACACUGCCCAGACACCUACGGGUGGCUGCAGUCGAGAAUCUUCGGCAAUGGGCGCAAGCCUGACCGAGCGACGCCGCGUGCGGGAUGAAGGCCUUCGGGUUGUAAACCGCUGUCGAAGGGGAGGAAAUUGUAGUGGGUUCACCCAUUAUAUUGACCGAUCCUUGGAGGAAGGGCCGGCUAAUCUCGUGCCAGCCGCCGCAGUAAAAC
rnacentral:rRNA from 1 species